CACACACACACACACACACACACACACUCUGUACACACACACACACACACACACACACACACACACACACACACACACACACACACACACACACACACCAAAGAAUGAACAGUUAAGUAAACAUUUACCUGAAUGGUCGCGACAGUAGAUAGGAACCGAAGCCGGCAACAAACAGCCAACAACACAUAAACAAUAGCUACGAUCAAAUCAUGUUCCAGAGAUUGUUUUGAACUUACUGUGGUGUUUCGAAGUUUCAGUCGAACUAAUAAAAAUUUCAAUUACAUUAUUUAACACGACAUAGCAACACAAAAACUAUAAACCAUCACAACAAUUACUUUCACAUGAGCAAAACCGUCAUUGUACACUAAUGGGAAACCAUACAUGAUAAGUUAACCACAUGAACUAAAAAGAACAAGUGAAUUCACAGAGAAACAUUUCACACGCAGAUAUCAAUGGAAAUGAUAAGUAUAAUAUAUGGUCGAAUGAAUAAAAAGUAACACCAUUUCACUCACAUACAAAACGACACAACACAAACCACAAAACAGGAGAAACAGCUUGUGUAACUUUUAUAAAACCAACUAACAGAACGCCAGCAUGCAAUUUCUAUUCAUAUAAUAGAAACUCAGUACCAACAAGACUUUUCUACCUUUUCUAGACUAUAAAACUAUUGACAUCAUGACGUACAGAUAAAUGACGACGCAACUACUUAAUUAUUAGUCCCAAAAAAAAAUUUCCUUAUUAGUUUAGAUAAGUCUUACCGCCAGUAACCAUUUUCUUUGAAUAUUAGUUUCCAGCCGUAACUAAAGUAUUUUCAAUUUAAUCAACCAUAGAACAUAUACUACGUUUUGACUAUUGAUAUAUUAACAAUGGAAACAGCGUUAGCGAUGAAUAUGUAACAGUUAUGAAACAUAAUACAUAAUAUCAUUAAAGUUGUUAUCAAUAUAAUAUCAGAAAGGCCUUCCGGCGGAAUAGACAAACAUGGUCCAGCAGGUAUUGAUAUCUACAUUAUAUUUCAUCAGUGUUUAUCUUAUUGUCUUUUGUCAAACUGUUGAUGUCAAAAAAGAGAGAGAGAGAGAGAGAGAGAGAGAGAGAGAGAGAGAGAGAGAGAGAGAGAGAGAGAGAGAGAGAGAGAGAGAGAGAGAGAGAGAGAGAGAGCGCUAUGGUAUCCACUUUUAGAAACACCUCUAUCUAAGAAUAAACACAAGAGCAGGCUACACUCCUUUCUGGACGUCUUGCUAAGUGUGUUGCAGGUGUCUUAGUAGGUGAUGGGAACAAUCACGGGUGCCGAUUGCCGACCUGAAAACCAGCCAGCCGGAUGAUACCGAACUGCUUACACACGAGGAAAAUCUCAAGCAUUUUGAGAAAAGGAACAGAGCGAUUCACCUGAAACUGUUAAAUCGGAAGAUUCCCUUCCAAUUCAAGGAUAGGCCUACACUGCCUCUGAAUAAAUAUGAGAGAAGUUUGUGUCGACAGAAGCAGGAUCGAUCUUUCAACGGUAGAUUAUAAAAAUAGAAAGUGUGAAUUUUCUGCAAACAGGCAAGUUUUCAGGACAUUGAAGUUACUAAAUUAUUACCACGUACAUCGGUCACUCAUAAAAUCACUCUCGUCCUUGAACCAUGUCCAAACGGUUUACGUGAACUCACACCGUAGAAAAUCAGCAUGCAUCUCACUCCGGUUCUGCUAACACGUGUGAGCUAUGUGGAUGUAUCUUGCAUAUCAAAUGCAGCGAUGUCACAUGAGAAAGAGUAGCGAUUCAUGGGAGGCACCGAAUUAAAGGAAACGAGCGGUGCAGAAAAGAGACUGGGAUGAGGCAAGCAAGGUGUGAGACAAGUGGCCUGGACAGACGUGAGACAGGCAUAGAUAAGAUAUUGUCGAACACCCUGUAGUGAUGUAUGGUGAAGUAAUAAUGUUACAGUAAUUAGUUUAUGAUAAGUCAGACGGGUGAAAUCGCUACUUAUGAUAUCAUUAUUGUUUUUCAGUCCAUGGGUUUUAUCAUUUUGGCUACAGACGAUUAGUAUACAUAUAAGAUGUAUGGAAUGUCAUUAUACGUUGACGAGUUUGAUUGCCAACUUAGUCUUUAAUCCCUCACACAUGUGGUAACUACCGAGGUCCUACCGUGAACUAUCUAUAAAGUCCUAUGAAGAAGAAGCUCCUAUGUAUUGCAAUUACUAGUAGACUGUAGCGGCCUUUUAGUAAUGCACGGACAUAUUUAUGUCCAUUUGAAUAACGUUCAUGGGGGCUGUUAAAGGUUUUCUUAGAUAUAUUUACUGAGAAACUUCCAGCAAUACAAAGUUAUGGAAAUAGGGGAUAAGAAGGGAGUGUGUUUAGUUUUAGUUCUUACUAGAAAUACUUUUUUUUGGUGUAUAUUGAUACCUAUUUUUGCUUUAAUAAUAUUGGAAGCCCUCUAUCAUGAGCUUUGGAGGGUUUGAUGUUAUUUCCAUAUAUUCAGCAAGUUACCUUUAUGGUUAUUGUUGCCUUUGAAUGAUUUAUAUAUCACGAACGGUAUGUUCCUAUGGUCACAGAGAAGACAGUAAAACUACUGAGCAAUAUUCUUUAGUAUGAAACCUCAUGUUUUGUUUUCAGUUACUGAUUUAAAAUGUAGAAUAUGAGCAAUGAGUAUUUAUUUCUUGACGGUUAUAUAAUAUCAAAUAAUGUGUCUAUGCAAUAAUGAAUAAAAACUUGAUUUCC
rnacentral:lncRNA from 1 species